rnacentral:rRNA from 1 species
UACAGAGGUCUCAAGCGUUGUUCGGAUUCAUUGGGCGUAAAGGGUGCGUAGGCGGCGCGGUAAGUCGGGUGUGAAAUCUCGGAGCUUAACUCCGAAACUGCAUUCGAUACUGCCGUGCUUGAGGACUGGAGAGGAGACUGGAAUUUACGGUGUAGCGGUGAAAUGCGUAGAGAUGUGGAGGAACACCAGUGGCGAAGGCGACUCUUUGGCCUGUAACUGACGCUGAGGCGCGAAAGCGUGGGGAGCAAACAGG